rnacentral:rRNA from 1 species
CAGCCGCCGCGGUAAUACGUAGGGUGCGAGCGUUAAUCGGAUUUACUGGGCGUAAAGCGUGCGCAGGCGGCCCGUUAAGACAGGUGUGAAAUCCCUGGGCUCAACCUAGGAAUUGCGCUUGUGACUGGCGGGCUCGAGUACGGUAGGGGGGGGUGGAAUUCCUGGUGUAGCAGUGAAAUGCGUAGAGAUCAGGAGGAACACCGAUGGCGAAGGCAGCCCCCUGGGCCUGUACUGACGCUCAUGCACGAAAGCGUGGGGAGCAAACAGGAUUAGAUACCCUGGUAGUCCACGCCCUAAACGAUGGGUACUAGCCGUUUGGUGCGCGAUAGCGCUGAGUGGCGAAGCUAACGCGUGAAGUACCCCGCCUGGGGAGUACGGCCGCAAGGUUGAAACUUAAAGGAAUUGGCGGG